rnacentral:lncRNA from 1 species
UCAGAGAGAGAGAGAAAGCCGCCGGCAAAGGAGGAAGCUGACCUCCGGUGACCGGCCUUGGGUCCAUGAAACUUCGGCGAGUCAGAUCUGUCGUGCAUAUCCCGUUUUGGUGUAACUCCUACCUAUUGCUUCACUGCUCCGGCAACUGAUGAAGGAUUACGGUGGUUUUGGUUUUGAGCUGGUGGUUGAUGAUGAUGGGUUUUUGUUGCUCGCCGAGUGAAACGGGUAGAGGUGAUUCCAACAAGUGGGAUUGUCACAAUUGAUGGGUUUUUGCAGCUGAAAGCAAUUGGGGGUAGUAAUCACCGGUAGCUGAGACGACUGCCGGCGGCAGAAACGACUCCGACAGUCGGACACUGGUCAAGAGAGGAGAGAACCCUCUCGAUUUCAACUUCAACUUCCAAGUUUGGGAUCUCUAAUCUUUUCUCAUCAAAAACUUCCGGUGAGUGAAGGUUUUUGGCAUUUUGAUUAUGAACCAUUGUUGCUGCAACUCUGCAAGGGACACUUUGGGGACACUUUGGGUCAGGUAGUCAUCUUUGGUAGUUGGAGCUUUGGUUCUUAAAGUGUAAGGCUUGAUUCACAUAGGAGAGACACUCUCAGUGCAAUUGUACAUCAAAUACAUAAUUCCAUUCUUAUUUAUGUUGAUGCGGAGGCUUAACGAUUUACGCCAUCCCGCAGGUCGGUAUUAAUUCGAGUUCAUCUACGUUUCACGUCAUGUGAGUCACUUGAUCGUUUUUCCGGUUUUGAUCAUCGUUGGGUUUCUAUUUAGCAUGUUUUUUCGCCCCCACCUCUAAUUGCACAGUUUUACGCCCCCCCCCCCCGCCCCGCAACGCGGGGGGCUCAAUUCUAGUUCAUAAACAUUACCCGUAGCUGAAUUCCAGAUAAAAACGCCAAUUUUCCACUUCACGAGGGUCAACCUUAUUUAUUUGCAUUCAUACCAUAGAGAGUUGCCAUAAAUGAAAAAUAUGAAAUGAAAAAAAAAAAAAAAAAAAAACCGUCAUGGGCAUGCCUUAUUUCAUGGCUCAAGAGUUUACCAACAUAUUGUAGAAAAAAGUACAUCACAAGAUAGUUAUGUCCCAAGACCUGACCAGAUAGUGUGGUAACUGUGCAUUGCAGUAAAACAGCCAAUUAGAGACCCAAAAAGAUAUAAACUUUAAUGGAUAUUCUGAAUUACAAGAUAAACUACUAGGGAGGUUAAAUUUUCUCAUUUUGCAAAGUGAUAACACAAGGUUAACAUGAAAUUCGCUCCACCAAACGCAAGCAUCUGAUCUAUUAUCGAUUGGAGCUCAUAUCCAAUGAUGAUUCGAUAUCAAUUCACAUAAUCAGUUUCAAGCGCACAACUAAAUCUCCCCUAAUGCUAGCCUUUUGCUUUGAUAUUGGUAGAAGUACUCGUUAAAGAUAUCGCAAAUCCAACAUUUUUGGGUGUACUUCCCACACUCAGCAUUGUUACACUUUCUUAUUGAUUUACUGUUAAAAAUAUUCGUAUUUAUCCGGUAUAAACGUGCCUUUUUAUAUUUCCUUUAUUUAUUUUUAUUUAUUUCCUUUUAUUUAUUUUUAUUUAUUUUUAACCUUUUUAUUUAUCUUUGGUUGUGAGGUUUGGUCUAUCAAGUUUGG